AUGACAACCAUUACUGGAGCUCGAGGUAAGCCUCGACUCCUCUUCCUCCCUUCCUCCUCUUCCUUCCCUUGCCUGUGUGCAUGACCACCGAUGGCCGGCUUUGCCAGAAAACUGAGAUCAAAGAAAUCCUGCUCCGCCCCUUCUCUUUUGGCUAUUUUCAGUGCUAGAGGUCAUCACCAACCGUUGGUUUGGCUUCCUUUGGACUACACCAUCACAACCCCUGCUGCCACCGACCAUCGGGCAGCAGUCGUGGCCCCCAGUCUG
rnacentral:lncRNA from 1 species